UGUCUUCGUGUGGUUCAUUUUUGCACCUUGGCAUCUAAUAUACAACAUAUACAAGUGGCGAGCCAGCCAGGAGACUUGUAUAUUAGAUUUAAUAGAUGCAAAGGUGCAAAAAUGAACUACGCAAAGACA